rnacentral:ncRNA from 1 species
UUGCCCUGUGGCGGACAAAGCGCGGCGCAAUCAAAAAACGCUUUGCAGGUAGCGGUGCCGCGUUCAGUCUGGUAUCAUAAGCAAUUGCUUAUUUCAAAGCACUUUC